GCGUAAGCGCGCGCAGGCGGCUACUUAAGUCUGGUGUGUAAACCCUCGGGCUCAACCUGGGGUCGCACUGGAAACUGGGUGGCUUGAGUACCGAAAAAGAAAGUGGAAUUCCACGUGUAGCGGUGAAAUGCGUAGAUAUGUGGAGGAACACCAGUGGCGAAGGCGACUUUCUGGGCUGUAACUGACGCUGAGGCGCGAAAGCGUGGGGAGCAAACAGGAUUAGAUACCCUGGUAGUCCACGCCGUAAACGAUGAGUGCUAGGUGUUAGGGGUUUC
rnacentral:rRNA from 1 species